rnacentral:lncRNA from 1 species
CGGCAUUUUUAAGGUGAAUACCGGUAUUAAUACCGGCGAAAAUUUGGACGGUAUCUCGGUUUUCGGUAUACCGGUAUUGCAUUCCCUAGUAGAAUGUAAGUCUGUUGAAAAUAUAAGUUUACUACCUAGUGGUUUAUGUACAAGUAAGUCUAAAAAUUCGUGGGAUUCCUUUACUAAUUGAGUGUAGAUCUAGGCGCAAAAUAUUUUUGACCUUUUUAUAUCCCGUGACCUUCGACUUCACCGCUUCAAUGGCGUUUUUCAUUUGGUCAGUAUUCCAUGUUUUGCUUUACUUCGAAUUUGGAGAUAAUCCUUUCAUUCAUUAUCUUUAAAAUAUCAAAAUACCGGUUGUGUCGAUAGGUUUUAGCAAAUAAAAUACAUUUUUUAUAACUUUCAAAUACUAAAUAGAAAAUGAAAAAUAAAGAAAUGUGACAUUUAUGUCAUAUUGUGCUAUAAAGUUUUAGAGUAGUCCAUUUGCUGACUAAGAAGUAUCGGAUAUUUUGAAGUAACAGUUUUGUUUAUUAUAGCAACGCUACGCCACAUUUUUCGCACUGUGAAGGUCACCGAAAGUGUGUUUGAGGACGAUUUUAGGCUAAUAACCCAAAACAGGCGUUGACCUACUGCGGUUUGGUGUUUGGCGCGUAAGGCAAGAAUGGCAACGUGAAAGAAUUCCGGCACAAACAGAGACAAACAACUAUGGUUAACAGAAAAACCCAGAAUCUUUAUUGAGAAGAGAGAGUAAUAUUACACGUUGGAGGCACAAUCUCCAAGGAGGAUAAAUACUUUGACCCGUUGGGAAAAUUAUUCAACAACCGAUGAAUAAAGGCUUCCUCUUCUUUCUUUCUCAACACAGUCUCUAAUACAAUUUAAAUUUCCUCUUGUCCCUUCUCUUUCUCCUCUCCUUUCCCAAAAAUAACAAUAAUUUACCGUACAAUUGACUGAAACUACUAGGCGAGCCCGGGGCUGUGCUAUUUCUCUCGAUGUUGCGACUUCUAUUUCGGCCUGAGCUUCUCGACGAAUUUUCCUCUUACUGCCUCAAAUAUUUUUCCUCCGACUGCCCAGAUCUUAUCAACCCGCGGAUAUAUUUUCCUCCCUAUCUUAUGCGAUAUAGGAGGGUUUUCUCUGUUCGCAUUCCAGGAGUUCCAUUUCCCGUCAUCUGUGUGUCACACGAUUCCCUCGAUGUCAUCGUGAUUUUCCCCAAAUUGCAAUUUUUUUUUCUUUAAUUUGGAACGGGUGGACGGAAACCCUCGGACCGUAAACAUGACAAGUUAAUGUGUUAUAAACGGAGCGUGUUAUUGAAACGUCGUUACUAUUCAAUUCAAUUGGCGACUCGUGCUAUCUCGUGAUAUUCUCGGUCUAGGAUACCAGGCCAUAUGACAGAUUUAUCGUUUUGUUUUCACAACUUGUGUCGUUACGACAUUCCGAUACAAUUAACAAACCUGUUCUACACCUGGACGUCCAGUUAACCGGAGGAGACCUGAAUAGGUUCUCCGAUACGCGUCUGUGCAUGGUAUUAACAACCGAUGUCAAUUUUAAUAUACAUAUCUAACAUACAAUAAUCGGA